rfam:Xanthomonas oryzae pv. oryzae KACC10331, complete genome.
AGGUGCAACUCGUACACUGCAAUUGCUGCGCGCCGUCCACAGCCACCGGACGACCGCUCGCUCCACUUGUUCGCC